GCCAGAGACAAGAAGAAUGGAACGGGAAAGAGAGUGAGAGUAUCCUGCCUGACCAAUGGCUAUAAUACUAGACCAGGGACUUCCAGGAUCUGGGAAGACACUCAAGUGCUGCAAGAUUGGGAGCAGCAUCAUGGAAGGUAGCCGAGUUGCAGACAGCCUGAGAGGAUAGACUGCAGCCAAGAAGGAGCAGCACUACCUUGUCAAGGGAUGAAGAAGACUCAGACCUAAUUCCUUUUUCCCAGCCUGAACAAAGAAUCACUGAAGUACAGAAAGAGAAGCACACAUGCCAUCAAUAGUACUACUGCUGCAUCAAGGCACGGACUUCAAUCAACAGUAAAUUUUUCACAUGGCAGGAAUUCGAACUGGUCAGUCCGGUUAGCUGGUUGUACUUUGCACAUCAUUAACUUUAAAUGUCAAGUGAACUACAGAACCCAACUAUGGAAGACCUGUACCAGAAGCUAGCCCACCCACAGAAGUUUUUCACAAAACAUAGCACCAGUUUAGGAAAGGGAACAGUGAGAAACUCCCUGCUACACAGCCACCAAAGCUAACUAGCAUGCACAGAGCAAACCAUCUACCCACAAAACUCCAGGAGUCAGAUAGCCCAAUUGUCCCACUAUAGUAGCACAGUACCUGAUAAGAUUCUUCACCCAUGUACCCCAGCCACUGACUCAUCCUGAGCCAAGUGGUACAAAUGAGCCAAGCAAAAGAGAAUUAUUUUGUUUUUUAAGUUUUCUUG